CUUGACCGAGCCGAGCCACACCGGGUCGUCCGGGUCCCGGUCCUGCCCGUAGGUGGCCAGCAGGGCGCCGGCCUC
rnacentral:antisense_RNA from 2 species